rnacentral:rRNA from 1 species
UUGUGGCCAAUUGAUGCUCAAAGAGUCCUGGCGAUCCCUCUCCCUAUGCACAAUAUGCCGGACUUCAUUGCUUGGAGCUAUACUAAAAACUGGUUAUUCACGAUAAGAUCAGCCUAUGUGGAGAAAUGGAGUAAACAACACAGAGGAUUGGAAUACACAAAUGGUAUGGGUAAAAGUAAGAUCAACCCUAUUUGGGGUAAGAUAUGGAAAUUAGCUUGUCCGGCAAAGGUCAAAAUUUUCAUCUGGCGUACGCUUCAUGGGACUCUACCGUGUCGGGUUACGCUGGCCAAUAGACACAUAAAAACUUUGCCAAUUUGCCCAGCAUGUCCGAACGGACCAGAGGAUACUAAACACGUGUUGUUUCUGUGCCAAUAGGCAAAAGAAGUGUGGGAAAAUUUGGGGUUGUAUGAAGUGGUUAAAAAAGCUUGUGUGGUGGAUCGUGCAGGAGAGGCAGUCCUUGAAGUACUACUCCUUACGCCUGAUUAAGAACUUCCUAUCUUGGGCUCCCAGAAUGCACGAGAGCUGAUCGCUAUAACCGCGUGGUACUUGUGGUGGAAUAGACGGAAGCUAGUUCACGAGGGCAAGUUACAAGAGGCGUCACAAACCUCGUUUGGGAUUCAGGCUACAACAUCAAAUUAUGUGAAUGCCCACUCACCAAAGGCAGAGAGGAAGAAUGAAGGAUGGAGCAGACAUCCCAUGGGGUUUGUUAAAUUGAAUGUGGACGCUUCUUUUGACCAUGAUCAGCUAAGGGGCACUACAGGCGCUGUUAUCAGGGAUGACAAAGGAAAGUUCAUUGUAGGUGGAAACUGGAAGAUUGAGUGCUGUGCGGAUGCUACAGCGGAGGCAUAG